rnacentral:tRNA from 4 species
GGCUUCGUAGCUCAACUGAAUAGAGCAUCUGACUACGGAUCAGAAGGUUUCUGGUUUGAAUCCAGACGAGGUCACAA